rnacentral:rRNA from 1 species
GAUGAACGCUGGCGGCGUGCUUAACACAUGCAAGUCGAACGGUGAAGCAGGAGCUUGCUCUUGUGGAUCAGUGGCGAACGGGUGAGUAACACGUGAGCAACCUGCCCCUGACUCUGGGAUAAGCGCUGGAGACGGCGUCUAAUACUGGAUAUGUGAUGUGACCGCAUGGUCUGCAUCUGGAAAGAAUUUCGGUUGGGGAUGGGCUCGCGGCCUAUCAGCUUGUUGGUGAGGUAAUGGCUCACCAAGGCGUCGACGGGUAGCCGGCCUGAGAGGGUGACCGGCCACACUGGGACUGAGACACGGCCCAGACUCCUACGGGAGGCAGCAGUGGGGAAUAUUGCACAAUGGGCGGAAGCCUGAUGCAGCAACGCCGCGUGAGGGAUGACGGCCUUCGGGUUGUAAACCUCUUUGAGCAGGGAAGAAGCGAAAGUGACGGUACCUGCAGAAAAAGCACCGGCUAACUACGUGCCAGCCGCCGCUGUAA